GACGAACGCUGGCGGCGUGCCUAAUACAUGCAAGUCGAGCGCGGGAAGCUUGCGGAAUCCUUCGGGAGGAAGUGAGCGGACCGAGCGGCGGACGGGUGAGUAACACGUGGGCAACCUGCCCGUAAGACGGGGAUAACCCCGGGAAACCGGGGCUAAUACCGGAUAGGUGACCUUUCUGCAUGGAGGGGUCAUGAAAGGCGGCGGAAGCCGUCGCUUACGGAGGGGCCCGCGGCGCAUUAGCUAGUUGGUGAGGGAAGGGCUCACCAAGGCGACGAUGCGUAGCCGGCCUGAGAGGGUGAACGGCCACACUGGGACUGAGACACGGCCCAGACUCCUACGGGAGGCAGCAGUAGGGAAUCUUCCGCAAUGGACGGAAGUCUGACGGAGCAACGCCGCGUGAGUGAGGAAGGCCUUCGGGUG
rnacentral:rRNA from 1 species